GAUGAACGCUGGCGGCGUGCUUAACACAUGCAAGUCGAACGAUGAAGCCCAGCUUGCCGGGUGGAUUAGUGGCGAACGGGUGAGUAACACGUGAGUAACCUGCCCUUAACUCUGGGAUAAGCCUGGGAAACUGGGUCUAAUACCGGAUAGGAGCGUCCACCGCAUGGUGGGUGUUGGAAAGAUUUAUCGGUUUUGGAUGGACUCGCGGCCUAUCAGCUUGUUGGUGAGGUAAUGGCUCACCAAGGCGACGACGGGUAGCCGGCCUGAGAGGGUGACCGGCCACACUGGGACUGAGACACGGCCCAGACUCCUACGGGAGGCAGCAGUGGGGAAUAUUGCACAAUGGGCGCAAGCCUGAUGCAGCGACGCCGCGUGAGGGAUGACGGCCUUCGGGUUGCAAACCUCUUUCAGUAGGGAAGAAGCGAAAGUGACGGUACCUGCAGAAGAAGCACCGGCUAACUACGUG
rnacentral:rRNA from 1 species